CCCGCACAAGCGGUGGAGCAUGUGGUUUAAUUCGAUGCAACGCGAAGAACCUUACCAGGGUUUGACAUGCAAGUAGUAGGAAUCUGAAAAGGGACCGACCUUCGGGAGCUUGCACAGGUGCUGCAUGGCUGUCGUCAGCUCGUGUCGUGAGAUGUUCGGUUAAGUCCGCUAACGAGCGCAACCCUCACUGUGUGUUAUAUGUGUCACACGGGACUGCCGGUUUUAAGCCGGAGGAAGGUGGGAUGACGUCAAGUCAGCAUGGCCUUUAUAUCCUGGGCUACACACACGCUACAAUGGUCGGUACAAUAGGUUGCCAAGCCGCGAGGCGGAGCCAAUCCACAAAGCCGGCCUCAGUUCAGAUUGUAGGCUGCAACUCGCCUGCAUGAAGAUGGAGUUGCUAGUAACCGCAGGUCAGCAAUACUGCGGUGAAUACGUUCCCGGGUCUU
rnacentral:rRNA from 1 species